GGUAGAUUUUUUUUUUUUUUACUCUUUUGUUAAAUGUCAAAGAGAUUUGGGUAUGUUUGUAGGGUGUGUAAGAGGGUACUACAUUGGGUACAUCACCUGUGGAACAACACUGUGUUGUACGGAGAAUGAGGGCUGCAUGAUGAACCAGUCGCGCUACUAGUGAGAGUUAUUAACCUGUAUGCUUUAUUUUUUAUCAGCUGCUGUAGUAAAAGUUUUUACUGUGUUUGGUUUUGUGAACUUCAUUAACUUUGUAAUUGCACAGUGGUUUUCUCCCCUUCCUAACAUGAUGCUUAGAUAAAGAGACAGUUGUCAUUUUAGUAAAGAAAACAAAAGCAUUAUGAUAAUUUUUUUGCUGUUGAUGAAUUGAUUUAGCACAUCAGUAUUGUAUUGGAGUAGUUCUUGAUCACCGAACCGUCUUUUCUAUAGUUGUACAGUGCACAUCUCUCUGAUUGAAUGUUUCAGUAUCCUUUUGUUUAUACCAUGUAAAUAGAGAAAUAAUUUUAGACUUUUAUACUGUACAAAUACAAGUCAACUAACCCCCAGUGGUGUUGGGUAUAGUGUAUCCAAUUGAAUGAAACAACAGAACAUGAAUAAAAUACAUCUACUUUU
rnacentral:sRNA from 1 species